rnacentral:rRNA from 1 species
UACGAAGGGUGCAAGCGUUACUCGGAAUUACUGGGCGUAAAGCGUGUGCAGGCGGGCUAGCAAGUGGUGUAUGAAAGCUCCCGGCUCAACCGGGAAGGGUUAUGCCAGACUGCUAGUCUUGAGUGCGAGAGAGGAGCGUGGAAUUCCGGGUGUAGUGGUGAAAUGCGUAGAGAUCCGGAGGAACCCCAGAGGCGAAGGCGGCUUCCUGGACCGACACUGACGCUGAGGCGCGAAAGCUAGGGGAGCAAACGGG